UGUGUAGGCGGUGAAAUAAGUCUGGUGUGAAAUAUCCCGGCUCAACCGGGGAGGCGCGCUGGAAACUGUUUUACUAGAGUGAUGGAGGGGGAACUGGAAUUCCUGGUGUAGGGGUGAAAUCUGUAGAGAUCAGGAAGAACACCGGAGGCGAAGGCGAGUUCCUGGCCAUUAACUGACGCUGAGGCGCGAAAGCGUGGGGAGCGAACA
rnacentral:rRNA from 1 species